rnacentral:rRNA from 1 species
CCUACGGGAGGCAGCAGUGAGGAAUAUUGGUCAAUGGGCGAGAUCCUGAACCAGCCAAGCCGCGUGCGCGAAGACGGCCCUAUGGGUUGUAAACCUCUUUUGUCGGGAAACAAAACCCGGAACGUGUCCCGUACUGCGUGUAUCCGAAGAAAAAGCAUCGGCAAACUCCGUUCCAGCCGCCGCGGUAAUACUGAGGAUGCGAGCGUUAUACGGAUUUAUUGGGUUUAAAGGGUGCGUAGGCGGUUCGUUAAGUCAGCGGUAAAAUUGCGGGGCUCAACCCCGUCGAGCCGUUGAAACUGGCAAACGUGAGUUGGAGAGAGGUACGCGGAAUGCGCGGUGAAGCGGUGAAAUGCGUAGAUAUAGGGAAGAACACCGAAUGCGAAGGCAGCUUACAGGGGCCAGACUGACGCUGAGGGACGAAAGCGUGGGGAUCGAACAGGAUUAGAUACCCGAGUAGUC